CUAGCUAUGAGCUCUUGUGUGGGAAGGAACCUCCCUGCUGAGGCAGGAAACUCUUCUGCAUACAAAUUAUCUCUCUGGGAUAGAAGAAGCCCAGACACCCAGCUAGAACAUUGAAGAAAGCAAUGAGAAAGAUCUAUAGAGCUGCUCUUAAAAGAUGGGCAGUUAUAUGAAUGAACGAAACCAACCAACCAACCAACAAACAAAUAAUACAGCUUUGCACCUAGGCAGCAAACUACAGCAUAAGAACAGUGCUCACCAAGAUAGAUUACACACAGGUGUCCUGAUCUCUACAUAUCUAACAGAUGAUCUACUGCUGGAUUAAGUGAAUGGGUUCGCCAUUUAUAUGAGACCAUUUAAACUGGUGUAUUAUUGAUUCAGACAAUCCUUGACCAGGGAGACAACUUGAGCUUCAACCCUGAAAACCAACUUCUGAGGGCAAGACCAUCACAAAGCAGCUGCCAUUCCAUCUAGAGAUAUUUAUACUCUCCACUUCUGACCAUGUUCUUAUAAUCUGAAAUCAACACACAACAGGAUGAAUAUGAUUCCCAUUCAUGAUGACUCCAAAUCCGGCUUAAAGGUACGAAACCUGAAGAAGACAGAACAAGCAUCUUAAAGUACUAAUUAACAGAAGAAUAGCAAACAGACUGAGUAAACCUGUGGCUCAGACUUCAA